rnacentral:rRNA from 1 species
CCUACGGGUGGCUGCAGUGGGGAAUAUUGGACAAUAGGGGGAACCCUGAUCCAGCCAUGCCGCGUGUGUGAAGAAGGCCCUCGGGUUGUAAAGCACUUUCAGUGAGGAAGAACGCCUGGUGGUUAAUACCCAUCAGGAAAGACAUCACUCACAGAAGAAGCACCGGCUAACUCCGUGCCAGCAGCCGCGGUAAUACGGAGGGUGCGAGCGUUAAUCGGAAUUACUGGGCGUAAAGCGCGCGUAGGUGGCUUGAUAAGCCGGUUGUGAAAGCCCCGGGCUCAACCUGGGAACGGCAUCCGGAACUGUCAAGCUAGAGUGCAGGAGAGGAAGGUAGAAUUCCCGGUGUAGCGGUGAAAUGCGUAGAGAUCGGGAGGAAUACCAGUGGCGAAGGCGGCCUUCUGGACUGACACUGACACUGAGGUGCGAAAGCGUGGGUAGCAAACAGGAUUAGAUACCCGAGUAGUC